UUCUUCAUUAAACAUUUUGCUAGGAGACAAGGGCCAAGGUAAUUAGACAGCACGGGUAACAUCAUUUUCUCUGCCGUUUACUGGCUUGAGACGAGUCAUAACAAAACUCUCCCCCUGCCCAGUUUCCUUUAGGGUCUUCCAUCCUGUUUCGCUUUUUAUUUGUGUCAGGGCUAAUUUCCCCUCAGCUGAGGUUCCCAGCUACUGCAUGCUACUAUGCCGCACAGAUGGAUAACAAGUUAUUAGCUUAAUUACGUUUUCAGUUUAGUGUCUAUGUAACUGAUGUGAAAUGGCUAGCUAGUUAGCGGUGAUGCGCGCUAAUAGCGUUUCAAUCGGUGACGUCACUCGCUUUGAGACCUUGAAGUAGUGGUUCCCCUUGACCACUACGGCUUUUGUGGAGAGAUGGGUAACGAUGCUUCGUGGGUGACUGUUGUUGAUGUGUGCAGAGGGUCCCUGGUUCACGCCCGGAUCGGGGCGAGGGGACGGACUAAAGUUAAAACUGUUACAUCUACAAGGAGUAAUACAUUAUUUAUAAAUGUGAAUAAAUACACUAUAUUUACAAAAGUAUGUGGACACCACUUCAAAUGGGUGGAUUCGACUAUUUCAGCCACACCCGUUGCUGACAGGUAUAUAAAAUCAAGCACACAACCAUGCAAUCUACAUAGACAAACAUUGGCAGUAGAAUGUUCUCACUGAAGAGAUCAGUGACUUCACGUGGCACCGUCAUAGGAUGACAACUUUCCAACAAGUCAGUUCGUCAAAUUUCUGCUCUGCUAGAGCUGCCCCGGUCAACUGUAAGUGCUGUUAUUGUGAAGUGGAAACAUAUAGGAGCAACAAUGGCUCAGCCGGGAAGUGGUAGGCCACACAAGCUCACAGAACAAAAAUUGUCUGUCCUCGUUCAACACCCACUACUGAGUUCCAAACUGCUUCUGGAAGCAACGUCAGCACAAUGACUGUUUGUUGGGAGCCUCAUGAAAUGGGCUUCCGUGGUCGAGCAGCCGCACUCAAGCCUAAGAUCCUCCAUGCGCAAUUCCAAGUGUCGGCUGGAGUGGUGUAAAGCUCGCCGCCAUUGGACUCUGGAGCAGUGGAAACGCGUUCUCUGGAGUGAUGAAUCACACUUUAUCUGGCAGUCCGACGGACGAAUCUGGGUUUGGCAGAUACCAGAAGAAUGCAACCUGCCCCGAAUGCAUAGUACCAACUGUCAACUUUGGUGGGGGAGGAAUAAUGGUCUGGGGCUGUUUUUAAUGGUUCGGACUAGGCCCCUAGAUGAAGAUAAAUCUUAACGCUACAGCAUACAUUCUGCUUCCAACUUUAUGGCAACAGUCUGGGGAAGGCCCUUUCCUGUUUCAGCAUGACAAUGCCCUUGUGCACAAAGUGAGGUCCAUACAGAAAUUGUUUGUCGAGAUCGGUGUGGACGAACUUGACUGACCUGCACAGAGCCCUGACCUCAGAUGAAGAUGGCGCCGACGGAUAUGGCAGCAUCUUGACUAGCUCUUUGGAAACUUUGCAGUAUUUAGUUUUUUUUAAUAUACUCUUUUUUUUUUACAUUAUUAGCUCAGGAAAUGUUUUGUGUCAUAAAAUACAGCCGGGAAGAACUAUUGCAUAUUAGAGUGGCGGUAACUCACCAGAACUGUCAGCAUUACGAUCAGGAAUACGACUUCCCUGGAGAAGAUCUUUGUUCACUCUCCCCAGAGCAAUAGAACUUAUUCCAGAGGCCAACCCAAAACAUUGCCGGCGGAGGAGAGGCACUUGAGGCGGCCUGCUGGUUCGGCUUAGGAAGUGCGCACACCACCCACCGCUUCCGAGUAUAUUAUUCGCUAAUGUUCAGUCUUUGGAUAACACAGUUGAUGAGUUUAGAGCAAGGAUUUCUUUCCAGAGAGACAUCGGGGCCUGUAACAUACUUUGUUUCACGGAAACAUGGCUCUCUCGGGAUGCUCUGUCGGAGUCGUUAAAGCCAGCAGGAUUCUCAGUACAUCGCACAGACAGGAAUGAAUAUCUCGCUUGGAAGCAGAAGGGUGGAGGGGUGUGUUUCAUAAUUAACGACUCAUGGUGUAAUUCUAGGAACAUACAGGAACUCAAGUAAAUUUGGUCACCCGACCUAGAAUACCUCACAAUUAAAUGCCGACCAUAUUAUCUCCCAAGAGAAUUCUCCAACGUCAUCGCCACGGCCGUUUACAUCCCACCUCAAGCCGAAACCUCGACGGCUCACAAAGAACUUCACUGGAAUUUAUGCAAACUGGAAACCACAUAUCCUGAGGCUGCAUUUAUUGUAGCUGGGGAUUUUUAACAAAGAAAAUCUGAGGACUAGGCUGCCGAAGCUCUAUCCACAUAUUGACUGUUCUACUCGCACUACUAAGACUCUCGACCAUUGCUAUUCAAACUUGUGGAAUGCUUACAAGGCCCUCCCCUCCCUCCUUUCGGCAAAUCUGACCACGACUCCAUCUUGCUCCUCCCGUCCUAUAGGCAAAAACUCAAACAGGAAGUGACCGUGCUUCGUACUAUUCAACACUGGUCUGACCAAUCAGAAUCCACGUUUCAGGAUUGUUUUGAUCACAUGGACUGGGAUAUGUUCCGGGUAGUUUGCGAAAAUAAUCGCAUGCACAGAUACGGUGACUGAGUUUAUAAGGAAGUGUAUAGGAGAUGUAGUACUAACUGUGACUAUUAAAACCUACCCUAACCAGAAACCGUGGAUAGAUGUAGCAUUCGUGCAAAACUGAAAGCGCGAACCACCGCAUUUAACCAUGGCAAGGUGACUGGCAUGGCAGAAUAUAAACAGUGUACUUAUUCACUCCGCAAGGCAAUCAAGCAAGCUAAACGUCAGUAUAAAGAUAACGGUCUACAAAAGGAAAACCAGCCACAUCGCCGAGACCGACGUCUUGCUUCCGGACAGGCUAAAUAAUUUUUUUGCGCGCUUUGAGGAUAACACAGUGCCACCGACGGCCCACUACCAAGGACUGUGGGCUCUCCUUCUCCAUGGCCGACGUGAGUAAAACGUUUAAACGCGUUAACCCUCGCAAGGCUGCCGGCCCAGACGGCAUCCCUAGCCGCGUCCUCAGAGCAUGCACAGACCAGCUGGCUGGUGUUUAUGCGUGCGUCACAGAGAUGCGUCACAGAGAUGUCCAUGAUGUCCAUGAUGAUGGCGUGCUGGAAGCAGAACAACUUCGCCGACACCCUCUGCUCCAAUGAAAUGCAGUCCUUCUAUAAGUGUGUUGAGAAAGCCCAGAUUGCAGUGAAAAACAAAUCAGAGCAACACACCAUCGUCCAGAGUGGACGCCUUCAACCCAAACAAGCCACUAUCCUGCUGAAAAGAUACCCCAACUUACACAUAGAAAUCUAGGACUACUCCCAGCCAUACUACUACGAUUUAUUAAUUGACAAAGGUUGAGGGCCAGAGAAUCUUAACCAUCCUCCCCACUGUCCUCUGUCAUCAUGCUUGGCCUUUGUGGCCAACUGAGGUCUCUGCUGGUUCUUACGGUAAAGAGGAAGUCUCUUAGAUCAUAGAAACAUCACCAACGUUCCACGAAUGCCAGACGUGAUAAUCAACAAAGUGAAUUAUGUGGAUUUAUUGUGCUGCAGAUGCACUUCUUGUGAUUGCCAUGUUAAAUUGAGUACGCUGUUAUAGGUCAUCAUAUAAAACAGUACCAUUAAAAUGGCUUCAGUCACAAAAGAAGGUUCCUACGAAUAUGUAACUUCACUCACUUGUCUAGUAUUUUGAAGAUAAUUUUCAUUACGCAUUCAGUUAUUGCUAUAUUAUUGCAUGGCUUUUUAAGAUGCCCUACUAAUUUACAUUUCUCAAGUACAGAUCAAGGAUGUUUGUGUUCAUAACUUGACAUGAUAUUGUGUGUGCCCUGGAUGAAAUAUAGUGUGACUGACUGUUAUCUCAGUGUCCUGAGUUGACUCCCAUAAAAAUGAUUUCCCUUUCAAAAUUAUCUAAAUAAAUCCAUACUGCACAGACAGGUGGUUGCUAACAAUAUUAAGAUAUUAGUGACCUCUGCAGUAUUUAAUUAUGGUUAUUUUGUUGCAUUUCCUCUGGAGUGCACCACUACCGGACGAUCACCUCAAUAGGAUACCUAUUUUGAGUUUCCAAUGGAUCACUCAAAUGUAAUUUGAAACACUCCUGAUAUAGUUGAACUGCCUAGCUGUUCUCUAUUAUUGGCCAAUUUGCCAGAUAGGAUUACAUGCCAGGAAGCAAAGCCCAUUGCAGGUCAUAGUCUUAUAGGUAUUGGAAAUUGUAUUAAGAUGACUGAGGUACCAAGACAAUAUCUCAGUGGCUGACUAAUGUCUACUGGAAUUUCAGCUCCACUUUGCAUUACCUUAUAAUUCAAGUCCUUUUUAUUUAAGGCAGUGGUUUUUAUUUUGCGCUAAUUAAGUUUGAAGUCUGUCAGCGUGGAUGCACUGUCAUCCAGGAAACUGCUCAAUCCUCUAUCAGAUUUGGGUUGGUCCUCAUUAUAAAAAGAGAAAAAUGCCAUCUCGCUCCACCCACACUGCCCACCAUUUUCUUGCCAUAUUUAUUUCCUGCUAAACGUGCAUACUGAAAUGGAAAUGCUUUCCUUUGUCAUCAGCACUCGUGCAGAUGAGUUUGAUCAUACCACCACAAAAUAGCAAUUCACUCUAGGGCUGAGUCCGACCUGAGUUAAGCUUGCAUAAAUGGAGCGCAAUUCCCUCAUGAACUUUUCUCUAUGUGUAUUCUGAGCUUGAUUUUAAGCAGGAGAAUAGCAUGCUAUUCAUUUGGGUGGAGAUCAAAUGAAUAAAGGUGUGGUGGAGGUGUCUAUAGAUACGCAGUAUUCUGACCUUGACUUAAUUCCCUAAUAAUUCCACCACCUUACACACAAGGAAACCAUGAAUAAGGUCUAGUGAACCUACCGGUUCCAAGUUGGAAAAGCAGCAUAUACUUAAUUUUUUUAGACUGAAAUAACACCAUUCUCCAUGCACUGUAAUUUACAACUUGAUAAGAGCUAUUGAUAAGAGCUAGGUAAAUUAGUAAUAUGUUUGGAUAAGGGAAUUGUAAAUAUAAAUAACUUGAUUUAGAUCUAUACCAAACAAAAAUAUAAAUGCAACAUGUAAAGUGUUGAUCCCAUGUUUCAUGAGCUGAAAUAAAAGAUCCCAGAAAUUUUCCACA